rnacentral:rRNA from 1 species
ACAGGGGGGGCAAGCGUUGUUCGGAAUUACUGGGCGUAAAGGGUCUGUAGGUGGCCAACUAAGUCAGACGUGAAAUCCCUCAGCUUAACUGGGGAACUGCGUCUGAUACUGGAUGGCUCGAGUGUGGGAGAGGAAUGCGGAAUUCCAGGUGUAGCGGUGAAAUGCGUAGAUAUCUGGAGGAACACCGGUGGCGAAGGCGGCAUCCUGGACCGACACUGACACUGAGGAGCGAAAGCCAGGGGAGCAAACGGGA